GAAAAACAGUAUAGUUCUAUAAUGAAUACAGACCAGUCUGGUGUUUGUGUUGUAGCUGUGUCUGUGUAGGUCUGUAGGAAAAUUAUUUUUUCCAACUAAAAAUGCCUUCACAUCUGAUAUCAUUUUCUUAUAUAAACAAUGUUUUUAAGUCAUGGGCUGCCGCAUGCCAAAGCUCUUACACAUAUUCUUCAUUCAAUAGCGUUCCAACUCUUCCAUAACCUCUGGCUAUGUGGAUGUUUAGCAAAAAAUAGAGGUACAACUUAAAGCAGCAAACAAGCAGAAGAGCAACCAACAUGAAUGGCGCACAAUUUAGUGAUUUGUAUUUUUUAUUAAUAACACAGAACAGGGUAACUUAUCUAUCAGCAUAGUCAAGUGUCAUGGCCUGUGUGGUGAAUAGUGGUGCUUACUUUAUAGUUUUCUGGUAUAUUUUCAUUAGUGUGAUGACAAAUUUCAUAGGAGUUAAGCGAAAACUAAAGGAUGGAAGGAGCCAAAGAAACUCUUUCUAAUCUAAAGCAGGUGAUAAGAGUCACAAAAGUGUAAGUGCACACAUAUAAAGUGGUCUCUCUGUGGAAGAAAAGAAACUUACAAGCAAGUAGUUUACAGACAACACUGGGUGAGCACAAUCAGUUCUCAUCAUGAAGGAAGCAGUGACAAAUGCAAAAAAACAAAUGUAGUAGCAUAGUGUAACCUUUCACUAAUAAUCAGAAGAAGUGCUGUUUAAACUGAAGCCUGCAGUUCCCCGUAUGCUCUGUUUUUAAGCAAGCAAAUAGAGAAGUAAUGCACAGAUUCUUGGUCUGAUAGUGGAACUAUUGGUCAGUAUAUUUAAAAUAACAAUUUUGCUGAAAGCCUAUGCUAUAUAAGUUUAUUCUGGGAAAUAAAGAAAUUCUCAUUCAAAUAACAACUAUUCUGAAUAUUUUUAGCCUUUCUUCAUACUACAUUUAUCUUUUAAAAUGCAGCAAAUGCAAAAAUGGUGUCACAGAUGAGCCCAUGACGUUACUAAAUGUUCCAGGACGUUUAUCAGUCAACAAGGCGGGCAGCUACAAAUAGCAAUGUUUGUCCUAUAACAGUUAAAACUAGCAACAUCAACAUAACAAGCCACUUCCUUGCACCGCAAAACAAAAAAAGCUUCUUGCAAAUACCAUAAAAACAUAGUAUAUAUAUAUAAAAGAUGUAAUUAACCCCUAUGACCGUUCUUUUUUUGAAGUCCUGUUUGAAGCUUAAAGUUUGAAAUUUUGGCUGGUGAGAUCGAGGUUUAUGAAAUCGAAGUGAGGGGUUGAUCCAAAGAAAAAAUACACUGCACAUAUAAAAACGUUUGACUCCUAAAGUAGCUACACCCUAAAGCGGUGGUAGGCGAUUAAUUCAAAAUUGAAGAACCUGCUCAGUUAAAGAAGUCUUGACAGUACUAACUGAGAUAGUAGAUCAACAGAAAAUCUGACAUAUUAAGGUGCAUCAGCGUUGACUGCACUUUUCACACCUUUACACAUAUUUUGACCUAUUUAAAGUAACAUUUAUCACAUUGUUUAGUUUCUUUAAACAGAAAAAAUCACAUUGUCACAGAUCUCUCAUGUUAUUUUUUUUCCUCAAAUUUAAAGUCAAAGGAACAUCUAGACAUCGUAUUUUUUUCCUCAGCAGCAGUAAUAAAGUUAAGUAGAACCAGAAAUAACUUCUGGGGUUGUAGAAUGUCAGCCUGUGUCUAGUGCAUCGCUAUUUAAAGCUCCCAUUAAGAGUUAAACCUUGGUUUAGUAAUGAGUGCUCCAGAAAUACAUCAUUUGAAGAGAACAGUUCAGUAGUUACAGAUUUACAAGUCUAGCCAAACACUGAAAUUCAUCUGUACCUUCACCUUUGAUGUUUUACUGGAGUUGCAUUAUCAGAUUAUUGCUGUUGUGUAAAUAUAUAUUUACGUUCUGUCCUGAGUCUAGAGUCAAACUAUAUAUAGGUAGCUGCUUUGCCAACAUGUUACUUAAGGAUAUUAGCGAGUGAGUGUUUAACCCCAUUGACAGACAUAAGGCAGACAUGGUUGUCUCUCUAGUUUAAUCUUCUUACAACUCCACCUCACUAUUAGAGGGAAUGUGACACAAUAAUUUUACUCUCAAGUGUUGUUACGUGGUGUAAUAACACUUAUCGUUGUGUUCUUAAUCCUCAGUCACAGUUAGAUGUCAUGAAGUUAAACAGGUUUCAUGCGGCUACAAUGGCGCCCACUCCCAGCCACGUCAAAUCAAGAGAGGAUAAGGGGGAAACCAGGGUCCACCAGAAGCUUCGCCGUGCCUCUGCAGAUGACAACAUCCGCGCUAAGACUGCGAUCGCAGAGAAUCGCAUCACCACCAUCCCAGAGCUCACAGAGACACUUGAGAAGAGGCUCUGUCUAAAUGAUAAGAAGACCACGUCUCUGGUGAGCAGGAGGAUUUAUAACAUUAACUAAACGAACGAUAAAUGGUCCUUACAGAUUUUUACCUUCUCAUAGUGUUAUAGAUGACCGAAGGACGAUCAGACUUGAUGGUCUUUCUCCUCCUCAUAUAAAAUUACGAAGCCCGUAAAAAUUAAGGAGCCUGAAACGCUGCAUUACUUUUAUGUGCUGCCAAAGACAAAGCUGUGAAUUACAUAACCUACAAAUACCCACAUAAUUAACUGGUCUUGAAUGCACACAAGGACCUUGAAGUUUUCUUUUUCUUCUAUUGUCCAUGCUUUUUGUCGGCAUACUAAAGAAUAUAGUUGUGAAUGCAUGUUUAAUCCUUUUUCAUUUUUAUACCUGAUUUUUCUUGGAACAAAAUUUUUUGUCAAGCCCUGUUAAAACUCAUUGUCAGGGGUUUAAUGUUAAUGAAACGGUGUUUCUGUAUCUUUGUGGUGUCACAGGAAAUCAAUAAAAAGAACGUGAUACAUAACAUACACAGUGCAAAUAACAUUUACAGCUUAUCAUAACUUUGUGAAAAAUUAUAUCUUUAUUUAUUAGUUUACUGAAAUUAAAUGGAGCUCCUUCACUUUGGUAUAUAAGUUACAUAUAUGAAGUUCCUGUCACUUAAUCUCCCACUGAUGCAAUAAUACAGGUUUAUUAUUUUUAUAAAUACAUAAGUUAUUGAAAUCUUGGUCAGAUGUUGUUUCUUUUUCUCACAGAAGAAGGACGAUACGUUGUGCCUGAUCUGUCAUGAGGACAUGCGUAAGAAUGGGAGGGGAGUGCCACAUUGUACACACCGCUUUCAUAAAGAGGCAGCUCGGAGGUUAGAGCAGUGUCGGCCCCGAAGCAGCAGUGAAGCAGCUGUUUUACAGGGGAGGAAGCUCUAUGAGGAGAGGAGGAGGUCUGCAGAUGGACAGAUUUCCACGGAGAAGGAGCAGCACACACUCCAUCGUCAACAUUCCCUGAGGAGACAUCGCUGAUAUUGUUUUCAAGAAGGGGAAAAUGCAUGAUUUGCAGUGAAAACAUCAGGAUUUCUCCUGAACUUUUACUACGAUGUGACACUGAAAAAUCAGGGCCUCAAAUCCCCUCUGGGCCAGAGUUUUAGGUCACUUUUGGAAUAAUUGCAACUUCUUCUCUUCAGUGUGCAAACACAGAGUUAAAAAUGUUUGAAAAGGGUUAGAGUUAGAAAAAAAAAAUUGAGACCGAGUUUAAAGGUUUGAACUCAAAGUUUUCUGCUUUAAAACCUCAGUAUGACAAACUGUACUGCACCAUGACUAUGUAAACAGGGGUGUUGCUAAAGUGUUGGCUUGGGGCCUGAAAUUUAUUAGGUCCACCUGGUGCCCCAGCUUAAUCUUUAUUAUAUAAAUGCAAACAUGAGUGAAAAUAACAGGGGGAUGUAAGGUGUCCAGUUACAUUUUUGCUGUAAAAACACUGUGGUACUCCUCAAUACAUUAUUGUAAAUAUAACUAUGUUAUAUAAUGUUAUAUAAUAUGAUAAUACACACUAAAAGCUCUUCUGCUCAGUUAUGGAUGUAUGACUCCCCCAUGACAUGCCUCACAGUGGUUUGAUCCACUGCUUGUUGUUUCCUGACUCUAGUGCUGCAUUCUGCAAAUUUUGGCAUUGAUUCAAUACUAACUAAAUACAGGGCCAGUAUUACCGAUACCAUUUAACCAAUGAAAGCAGCUUAUGUAUUGAAGAUGAGAUGAAGUAUCAUCAAUAUACAAAGUCUGAACACACUUUAAUGAAAUCACUGUGAUUUUUCCUUUCACCAAAACAAUUCAGCUGUGUGCCUGUUUCUAAAGCACUUUGGAUCGGUUUAUGUUGGAUCAGUUUAUGUUGUUUAAAUAAAUAAAGUAGGCAUGACGGCCAGCACAAAAAGUUUCAGGGAUUUUUCACUAUUGUUUUUCACACAUUUCACUAUUGGUUAGAAACAAAGUAUCAAUCCUAUUGCUCUAGUAUCGAUUCAACACUAGUACCAGCAUUGGUAUCCAUGGAUACAAGUCUGGUCAAAGUUAAAAUCACCAUAACUCAGUGGAUUUUCAAACAAUUUUCAAGUGGUUUCGUUUGGCAUUUUUUUCUGAUUUCAUUUGGUGUUUUCUCCUUUUCUGUGCUCUACACCACCCUUACUGGUUCUUGGGUCCCUCUGUGCCAAAACCAUAUAAAAUUUCCUGGAAACGCCUCUGUAUGUAACGGUCAUUGUAUUCAGUUAUUAGACUUACAGCACGUUAUUGGAUGAGAAGAUACCUCUAUGAUUAUACUAAUUAAAUGGUUUUAAAUAUCACUUUAGAAUAAAUAUACUUUAUAAUCAAUAGAGAAUAUUUACAGUUUAUAAAAGCAUUUCAUCAGAACUACAGUGAGUCACUUUAUAUACUGUUGAAUCUGUUGACAAUCAGAACUUGUAAACAUGUUAACAUUUUGUCAAAGUGAAUAUAAUAAAAGUCAAUAAAAAGCAAGGCACCACAUUAUUAACUGUAAAGAAAUUUAUUUAAAACCUUCUUUGACUCGUAGCCUUUGAAACAGAGAAAGCUGCUCAAAUAGGCAGCAACACUGUCCCUUCCAGCUAAGGGUUAGGGUCUGUGAACGUAGAUCCUGUUGCUCAUGCAUCAACAUGUUGGAAAUGACCUCCUGGCAUCAGUUGAAAAUAUCAAUGACUGCAUAAAUGAUACAUGAUACAGAUCAUAGCAACAAUGAUGCAAUGGUGUGUUUUAAAAUGUGUUUCAGUGCAUGGAGCAGUGGCUAUGGAGGAAAAGGAACUGUCCCACAUGCCGUGUCUACGUAUCCAUGCUAAAGCCCCUCUAUUGGCCUUCUUGUCGCACCACCGUCCCAUAAUGGUCCUGCACCUACACUUGAAAUGUCUGCAUGUAUAUGUGACCCCAAGACCUCCUCCUCUCCAUCUCCACGCCUCGUUCUUUCUGCAUGAACACCCUUUGCAAAACUGUCUUCUGUCCCUGAAGGAAGCAGGAAAUGAGAGUGAGGAUAUCUCAUGUGAGAGACACGAGCUGUCAUUGGACGGUGAUUAUUUAUAUAAGAGCUCUUGUAAAUUAAUGCACUAUCAGGGGAGGAUUAGUCUUUCUUGUUCUUAUUUUGUUUUUGUCCAAAAAUGAUUCUAAACAAUUUCUAAUGACAUGCAGUUAGGUGGAGCAAAUAUCCUCAAAACUGACAAUAUUUUUUGGUAAUGAACAAAAUAAUCUGCCUGAAUUCUGCUGAGUUUGUGGUUGAGGUUGAAUAUUUCCAAGUUCUGAAGUUGAACUUAGAUAUAAAAUCACAUCAUGAAAUAUAAACAAACAACUCAUAAAUUAGUCUUCUUACAGCAGGUAGCAUAUGAAUGUGUGCAUCAGUAGCAGUCGAAUUUCAGGGCUCAUAAGACCUCCCAUCUGAGUUCCACUGAGCACAUCUUUGGCAAGCUGUUUCCCCUCAGUUUAAAGCUUUUAAAUGUUAAAAGUUUAAUGCUAAGCUGACUAGUUUCUGACUUUGGUUUUAUAUUUAGCACAGAAAUAUGGGGAACGUAAAUAUUUUCCCAAAACCAUUCAUACACACAAAUAUUCUAUAUAUUUUUUGACAACAUUUGACUGACAUCUUAUAAUAAUCACAAGUUCCUGAUAUAGUUUUAAUUAAAAAUCUUGAAAACAGUCUUAAAAAAAGCUGAAAACUACAGAGAAUCAGCUCUAAGACAGGUGACAAAUUAAAGGAAAACCAUCAAAACCAGUGACCCACGCACUGAAGGGGUCCAGUGGCUAUGUUUUGGUGCACUGAUUUGAGUCCAGACAGCGUCACUGUAUAGCGAUACAAACUUUGUCUGACUGGUUACUUUUAUGCUACAAUGAAAGAUGCCACCUUUUACUCGACACAAGGGGUUACUGAAUGCUUUUAUUACUCAGAACAUGAUUUUAAGUUAAGCAGUGCUGUACACCAUAUGAGAGAAUGUCUUUUGGAAUGAUAAUGUUUCAGAGGCUUCAGUCGGUGCUAAGGUGCAUUAGAAUUGCUCUGUCAGCACAUGGCAGCUCAAUACCUUAUUGAGAAGCAUGAAGUUGAUUUUCCUUCUUUGUCACCUGUCAGUAUGGGUUUUUUGCAUAUUCUGCAGAAGGUGGUUGGUGUAUUUCAGUCAAUGCUGAUUACCCAGUAGAGAAAUUUCAACAGCUGCACUAGCAAUAGCUCUACUCUGCUAUUUUGAAGGAUUGAGCAUGCACAUUUAUUUAUUGCCUGCAUUCACAAUGCUUUCUCUUAAGUAAGAAAACUCCUCCCCUGCAUCAGUGUCAUAUCUUAUCGUACAUCUGCACCGUCUUCCUGCCUUACCCAAUUAGCUUUUGUUUUGCAUGUAAAGGUUUUUGCGUGUGACUUCUAUUCGAUCGUUUUCAAACAUCUCUCUUGUGCCGUGUGUUUUGCACUUCCAUGUGAGAAGUUUACAGUAUGUACACAAAGUCCAACUAAAAAGAGCUGGCCUAUGUAUAUAUUUAGCCAUGUAAAUAUGCAGUUAUAUAAAGGAUAGCUCUGUAGUUAAUGAAAAUUAGAAUGCAAUUUUAAAAUGCUGCUAUAGCAGUUCAUUUAACCAGCAAAUGCUCAUAACUACCAUUAGAUUUAUGCACAAAGACACAAAACCUUUGCACUCUGCAGAACAGUUAAAGGCUGUUGGGUUCAGUAUGCUUACACCACGGAGGUUAUGUGUUUAAUUACAUUUUCCAACCUUGUGCUUAAAAAGCUGAAGAACUUUUUAUGACUCUCAGCAGCACCAACUUCCAGCUGCUGUGUUCACUGUUUCCAUUUCACUGUUGUUGUUGUUUUUGCACUCUUGAAUAAAAACACAAUGAAAUGAGUGAAACACCUGUUCUGUAUCUCUUUGUUUAUCUCUUGAUCCCUUUUGUUGUUUCCUUAUUCUAUCCGCCUUACCCAGGUUAAUGAAACAAGUAAAAACAAGUGUUCAGGUAGUUAGGUUUUUCUCCUCUGGUUAUUUUCUGUUUUACUUUGAAGGGUUGUUUUCUGUCCAUCUUUCCCUGACCCUUUGAUUGUUGUAACCUUCUAAGUAUGCUCGCCUGUGUCUCAUCCUCCUCUGCCAGUUAUCCCAAGUGUCAGUGUUGCUCCUUUCUGAGCUGCCUGCUUGAUUCACCUGAGUUUACGAUUUUGAUCUUCACACUGAGCAACCAAAUGUGACGCACAAAGUUUCUUAUCUAAUAUGCCAAAUAUCUAUAUCUUGAUGUUGCCUAGAAACCACCUAGUAAAAUGAGUUUAUUUCCUCUAACGUUAUGCACCUACAACACUUCAUAAAUGCAUCAUAUCAUUUUAAUCUCACAGCCACCAGCAUGAAGAGGGUAAAUAAUAGUAAAGCAAGGCCAUGUGCUUGUACAGA
ensembl:lncRNA